rnacentral:rRNA from 1 species
GACAGAGGUCUCAAGCGUUAGGCGGAAUCACUGGGCUUAAAGCGUGUGUAGGCGGAUCGUUAAGUGCCUUGUGAAAUCCCACAGCUCAACUGUGGAACUGCUUGGCAUACUGGCGGUCUUGAGCCAUCUAGGGGUCGCUGGAACAAACGGUGGAGCGGUGAAAUGCGUAGAUAUCGUUUGGAACGCCAAUGGUGAAAACAGGCGACUGGGGAUGUACUGACGCUGAGACACGAAAGCCAGGGGAGCAAACUGG